AUUCAUGUUGAAUUGUACAGAAACAGUACUUGGAUGAAACGGAUUCACCUUCCAAGGGUGUGGUGAACACUGGUUACAAGGAUUUGCCAAGUAGAACGGCUAGUCAAGCCAGUAGCCUUUUUUCCAACAACAUCUUGAAAUUGUUAAAGCUGUUUCUCCUGAGAAAGAAUAUUUUAACUUUGAACAAAAGGACGAUUUAGAUUAUGGGACUAUUGAUCAUGUCACUAGAGGAAUUUGGGUAAUAAAGGAUGAGUUUUGAGAAUCAGCCCAUCUCCUGAGCUACUGGGCUCUGCCUUAGCAAUAGAACUUGGAGUGCUAAGUWCAUGGACUUUAAUGCACAUGUAUUAAAGGAAGGAGCUGUUGUKUACUGUGCAGGAGGGAUGGCAGGGCUGUCUAGUCAGAACACUUCUGGAUUUGGGAACACCCCUGGUAGGACUGAGAUGUUAAAGCUUUAGGAGAAAGCAGCAGUUGAAGCACUGAAGUCUUCAACAGAAGUUCUGGGCAUGGCUCUGGGUGGCACAAUGGCCAKGUUCUCUUCUUGCAAGAUUUCAGGGCCUGACAGCUGGAGGUGGAGCAGCUAUGCCUUUUACUCAAAUACCAGUUAGUCUGGCUGAGCCUUGUGUCCAGAAGGUUUUCUUCUUGACACCAGUCUUGACAGCUGUGGGUGUCUUGAUUGGCUCCUCUGGAUGGAGCUAUCCCGUCAUGCACUGUGUGUGUGGCCUGAUCUUUGCCAAAUGUCACUUUUGGGUGGAUAUGGCAGAGCAUCUACAGCAGGAAGGAAACCUGUGGAAAUUGUUGGAACUUGCACUGAAGCUGGAUUAAACCAAGCUGCUGGAGUGAUAAAGGAGCCUGAUUCUGUCAUUACUCUGGUGACUGUAUUUCCUUCACAGAAGAAUUCUUCACUGCUCUAUCUGGUUUAGAGCUGCUUUGCGUCGCUGGACCCAGCUUUAUGGAUGGGAAUCAAACUAGAUUAUUUUUUUCUAAACAGCUAUGCAGGUGAGAGCUCAUAAAGGAAGCUCAUAAAGCUAAGUUUAGUACCAUGGGAUUUUGAAUUUACUGCUUCUAGAAGACUCCAUGUCACAUUUUUUCAGCUGACAAAAUGUUUGACUCGCUUUUUAUCCUAUAAACUCAGAUUGURAAGACAAGAUUAUGUAUCUGUGUUUCAUAAAUAUCUGAAAUAGGUGUCGCUUCAUUGCUGAAAAUGAGGACAAUCUGCUUGCGUUGAUGCAUCUGAUGUUGUAAGUUUGUUGACAUUACAUUUACAUGCAUUUUGGAAACUUGUAAACCACAGUGAAAUCAGRCACUUCUGUAUUAGACUGCUUUUAUUCCCUUCAAGGCUCAGAGUAGAUCUAUGGCUUCCCUAGACCUGGAUGUUGUUCUCUAUGUAACAGUACACUAAAUUCCUUUGGCUCAUGCACCUCAGUAGCUUGGAGGGCUCUUAGAGAAGAUAGAAAAAUGGUACAGCCAAACAUCCUUCCAUGGUUACCAGGCUCCUGGGAGGCAUAGCCAGCCCUGUGGUUAGAAAGGUCAAGAGAAAUGGAAGCUGUGACAUGGUGCUGAUUUUUAUUCAGACUCUAGGAGACACAACAGAUGCACAGACCAUUAGGCUUCACUUUACUGGGCAAACUAUGAACAACUUUGARAAAAGAAUGAAAAUAAGUUGGUAGGCACAUGGAUGAUUAUGUUGGUGAUUAUGUUCAGCAGAGGGAUUAGUCAUAUUUCACAAACCCAUUAAGAGCUCC